UAGGGAAUCUUCCACAAUGGACGAAAGUCUGAUGGAGCAACGCCGCGUGAGCGAUGAAGGCCUUCGGGUCGUAAAGCUCUGUUGUUAGGGAAGAACAAGUGCGAGAGUAACUGCUCGCACCUUGACGGUACCUAACCAGAAAGCCACGGCUAACUACGU
rnacentral:rRNA from 1 species